UCCAGACUCCUACGGGAGGCAGCAGUGAGGAAUAUUGGUCAAUGGCCGAGAGGCUGAACCAGCCAAGUCGCGUGAGGGAAGAAUGUCCUAUGGAUUGUAAACCUCUUUUGCCGGGGAGCAAGCGUGCGUUCGUGAACGCGCGUCGAGAGUACCCGGAGAAAAAGCAUCGGCUAACUCCGUGCCAGCAGCCGCGGUAAUACGGAGGAUGCGAGCGUUAUCCGGAUUUAUUGGGUUUAAAGGGUGCGUAGGCGGGAUGCCAAGUCAGCGGUAAAAUCGCGGGGCUCAACCUCGCUCCGCCGUUGAAACUGGCGUUCUUGAGUGGGCGAGAAGUAUGCGGAAUGCGUGGUGUAGCGGUGAAAUGCAUAGAUAUCGCGCAGAACUCCGAUUGCGAAGGCAGCAUGCCGGCUCCACACUGACGCUGAGGCACGAAAGCGUGGGUAUCGAACAGGAUUAGAUACCCGAGUA
rnacentral:rRNA from 1 species